GACGUAGGGCGCGAGCGUUGUCCGGAUUUAUUGGGCGUAAAGAGCUCGUAGGCGGCUUGUCGCGUCAACUGUGAAAACCCGUGGCUCAACCAUGUGGUCUGCAGUCGAUACGGGCAGGCUAGAAUUCGGUAGGGGAGACUGGAAUUCCUGGUGUAGCGGUGAAAUGCGUAGAUAUCGUAAGGAAGACCAGUGGCGAAGGCGGGUCUCUGGACAGUUCCUGACGCUGAGGCACGAAGGCCAGGGGAGCAAACGGG
rnacentral:rRNA from 1 species